rnacentral:rRNA from 1 species
CCCUUAGAUGUUCUGGGCCGCACGCGCGCUACAAUGAUGAAUUCAACGAGUUUAUAACCUUGGUUGAAAAGCCUGGGUAAUCUUUUGAACUUUCGUCGUGAUGGGGCUAGACCCUUGCAAUUAUUGGUCUCCAACGAGGAAUUCCUAGUAAACGCAAGUCAUCAGCUUGCAUUGAUUACGUCCCUGCCCUUUGUACACACCGCCCGUCGCACCUACCGAUUGAAUGGUCCGGUGAAAUCUUCGGAUUGAGACUUUGUUUGCUUCACGGAAAACGCUGUUUUAAAAAGUUGAUUAAACCUUACCAUUUAGAGGAAGGUGAAGUCGUAACA